AUUAUCAGUCUUGUUACAAGGUUGUUCUAACAAGUCUGAUACAGUCAUGAUAUAACAAGGAUGUUGCACGGUUGACAACAGAAGGUUGUAACAAUAUUGUUAUAUCGUCACUGUAUCAGACUUGUUGGAACAACCUUGCAACAAGUCUGAUAAU